rnacentral:rRNA from 1 species
CAGUCGCCACGGGAAUACGGAGGGAGCUAGCGUUGUUCGGAAUUACUGGGCGUAAAGCGCACGUAGGCGGCUUUGUAAGUUAGAGGUGAAAGCCUGGGGCUCAACUCCAGAAUUGCCUUUAAGACUGCAUCGCUUGAACACGAGAGAAAAGUGGAAUUCCUAGUGUAGCGGUGAAAUGCGUAGAGAUUAGGAGGAACACCAGUGGCGAAGGCGGCUUUUUGGCCUGUAACUGACACUGAGGAGCGAAAGCGUGGGGAGCGAACAGGAUUAGAUACCCCAGUAGUCCCUGUCUCUUAUACAC